rnacentral:lncRNA from 1 species
AAAACUAAGUAUGAGACAAAAGGACAUUUCGGUAACAAAAUGUGGUAAUAAGGAAACGAUGGUAUGGUGGCUACAGUUUGCGCCUACAUCUAAAAAGAUAAGUACUAAAAAAUGACCAACUAAGCACAAGUACCAUGGAGAUAUAGACAUGCAGUGUCUAUAAUUAAACAUACCUCUACUGAUUCCCUGAUUGCAUGAGAGCGUGCGCUGAGGCAGUCUUGCUAUUCCCAC